CGGCCCCUCCCCUCCCCUCCCCUCCCCACAUUUCGUUGUGUACCGCAAACAGCAGAGAGAAAACGGAAUCCCAGAUCCACCCCUCCCCAUCUCCAUCCGCGGCCAUGGCCUCCGCCGACGCCGGCACUUGCCCGUGGGAUGCCCUCCCGUUGCACCUCCAGGAGCGAAUCCUCUCCCUCCUCCCCAUCACCGAACUACUUCCCGUUGCCGCCGUGUCCCGCGCCUUCCACCGCCUUCUGCGCUCCCCGACCUUCCAUGCCCUCCUCUCCCCGCAUCGCCUCGACGCCUUCUUCCUCCUUUCCCCACGGCUCGCCGUCCACCCGCUGUCCCGCCGCGUCCGCACUAUGCCCGCGUUCGCCGCGCUCUCUCCUCCUUCCUACCCGCUCGUCUCCUCCCCGUCCCCAUCACUCCUUAUCACCUGCGCCUCACUCCAGUUCCUCCCGCCGAUCCCCGACGGAGCCUACCUCCUAUCCGCUAUCGUCCCAUCGCGCGGCUCCUCCACCUCCUGCACCCUUGUCGCCGUCAUCACCGGCGCAGCCGCGCGUUCUUACACCCUGGACACCGGCGAUCCCUCCCCGCAGUGGGCGUCUAGAGGCGAUCUCCCGCUGUCUCUCACGCUCCUGGAAAACGCCGCGGUCUCCGGUGACCGCAGCAAACUCUUCGUCCUCGGCCGUGGCCCCGAGGCGCUCUUGGUUUUUCAUCUCGUGACGGGGACAUGGGAGGUGCUGCAUGUUGUGAUGCCACAAGGUCUCACUACGGCGCACCUGUUUCUUUUUGAUGGGAGCCUAUUCUUAGUAGGUGGUAUUGAGAGCUUUGGAGUAGUGGAUCGGGUGGUGGUCUGGCGGUUGGACGACGAUAAGGUGGAGGAGGUGUGGUGGAGGGAGGUGAGCGUGAUGCCGACGGAGGUUUUCGAUGAGUUGCUAGCUGGUAGGUUUGGCAGAUUCUGGCAUUUUCAGGCUGCAGACAGAUUGGGGAUUGUUUGCUUGUACAAUGCUGUGGAUCGGAGGCUGGUCAUGUUUGAUGCGGCUGAUGGCAUGUGGACAGUGCUGCCACGAUUGUCCGCGUUGGAUGCAUGCGAGAGCUUCAGGUGGUUUGGACAUGUCUUGGAGCCAGGAGUUGAAAUCUUGAUGGGACUACGUUGGUGAGGCUUUGCUCUUAACUUGUAGUAUUUCAGUUGAGUCCUGGCAGAUUCAGCUUUAUGCUCCUUGAGUCUUAAUACAUCCCGAUGAAGAUUUCAUGCUAACAUCAUUAAAUUCAUAAAGCUAGAGUUACUAGAAGAGCUGUAUGCAAAUCCCUGGUGAGUACCAAUGCAUUAGAGCUCAUGAAGGUUCUUUUUACUCAGCUUAUCAUCUUUUUCAGAAGCGCAAGCUGCAUUAAUAGCCACCUUUCAGAUUUAUUCACGGAGUGAAAUUCUUAUUGUCCUUUCCUUUGAGAGAGAAGAAUUUUCAUGGUUAGAAUGUGUAACUUAUCUAUCAAUUGUCAUAUCUCUCUUUUAUUUUUUUAACUACGAUGUACCCAACUUUGAUCUGUAGUAGCUCCUCUGUUGGGACAUAGAUAAAAAUCAAAUAUAUUGAUAAAACCAUGUUAAAUUUAUUGUCCUACAUGCAAUAUUCAACUUGUUAGCUGAUAAAACAAGAUUGUCCUGGUUCCGCAACUUCGUUCUGUGAGAACUAUUUGUACAUAUAGGUAUUAGUUUUAUAGUAAUAAACAUAAUUGUCGGUGUACGAAACCCGGGUCCCUAGGGCCACAAGUCAGUAGAGGAUUGAUGCCAGGUUCAUCCACCACGAGUUAAAUAAAGCUCCACCCCGCGGGACAAUCCCUCGAAGUUGGGCAAGGCGGAAACUUGCGGAGGGGGGUCAGGCGAACCAGCGAAAACCCACUCGAGUGGAUUUCACGUAUCUGAACUGACCACACCGACAACUUUACGUACGUCUCAUUAACUACGCCAGCCGGCGGAGCGCGAUGCAGGUAGUGUUGGUCUUUCCCCACCACUCAUGACCUACAAGACCUAGGCCUGAGUUCCUAGAAGGUCUACGACCCCGUAGGAGAUAAGGGACCGGCGGAUAGGCUACAAAGGAGGGUCGGCGUAGGGAGAGAUGUGGACAAAAUCCAGUAAUGAUGGCACUCUGACUUUUGUCGCCAACACGGAUCGCACCCUACUCAGGAAAUCUCGGAGAUAUGCCAGAAGACCUAUGGGAAAGGGCACUGACACACGACAAGAUUUACCGAGGGUGAAUCCCUUUUUUACCUCACAUUACGCUCCCUUCUGGGAGAAGGCAUUGUGAGAAGGUAUGUCCCAGUUUCCAAUACCCAUAUAUGUUGGAAACAAUGUAGACUAGUUUCAUCUCUAUUUAACUCAUUUUACCCUAUGAAACUUUGAUCAUCUCUCUCUUCAUUGAUAUUGUGCCAUGUCCGGAUAUUUGGUAGUUUUGUAGCUUAUUCAAUGCUCAUGAAACUUAUGAAACCUCCACUAAGACUGGCCCGAGAAACACAAACUUUGACCAAGAUAGGUGGUGACCUCUGCUAUCAUUAAGAGAAAGGUUUCCCUUGUAUCCAAGUGGCUUUGAAUAAAGAGAAAAUUUGAACAAGUAAUCCCAUGCAAGUGUUACAUCAUAAAAAAAUACAUUAUCUUUACUUUAGCUGGGGAAAUGAGCAGCAAGGAUGUUCGUUUCCAGGUAGAAAGCUGUGUGUGAGCCUGUGACAUGUUAUGAGAUUUAAACAAUAUGAGUUUUUGUUACUGUUUAUUGUCCGCAUCUCAUUUGGGAGUUUUAUAAGGCAUGAUUGGUUGUCCGCUCGCGUUCAUCCACGCUCUCCGCAUGCGUUGACCAAGUGACGGACAAUGUUUGGUUUCCUGUAUACAUGAGGUCAGAGACUGCACCCGUAACUGCAGCGUAAACUAGAAAUAACUCUUCUAACUGUAUGCACAGAUACGCACAGAAAUCCCGUUUUCCGGCGGGCCAAGCGCACAUGAGCCACACUACGCUUAUCCAGCUAGCCAAUCAGGCGCAUAGUGAUGGCCUCGGGACACUAUAGAAUAUAUGGCGAACACUUACCAUCAUUUUUUGUACUGAAAACGAGCCAUACAUUCUUCUGACAUGUUCAGAAAUGCAUUUGUAUUGCUUAUUCUUCAAACUGCUAAACCAGGAGUUAGUUUAAGGGAAAUGUCACAGGCACUGCAUCCACUAGGUAUCCUUCAUUCUUGUGAAUAAAAAUGUUAUAGAAUUUGUUGCAUAAAGCUACUUUUUU